UUCAUCUUCCUUGUGCCCUUAGAACUAUGCAUCCUCCUAGAAUGCCUGUCCUAGGAACCUGAGUGUUCUCUUCAAUUUCUUCUGAAUUUGAUAUUUGUCAUCCAUGGAUAACGAGUCAUUUCUUGUGCUAAAGUGAUUGGGUUGGUGGAAAGUUUUCUCCAUUGUGUGCAAAACUGACCAAGGUCUUCCAUGUCUCAACUCAAAGGAGUGAUGCUAAUUACAGUAAUUAGGUGCUUAUGGUAAGCACAACCCACAACUCAGGAAGCUGCCUGC
rnacentral:lncRNA from 1 species